UUUAGUAGAGACGGGGUUUCACCGUGGUCUCGAUCUCCUGACCUCGUGAUCCGCCUGCCUCGGCCUUCCAAAGUGCUGGGAUUACAAGCGUGAGCCACCACGCCCGGCCCAGAUUUUUCUAUUUAUCAACUUUUAUUGAUCAAUUUUAGUCAUUCUCUAUUAACUUCCUGCUAUUUAUACCACCCAAAUGCCUUUCCCAUGCCUCCAAUAUAGCCAUGUCACUAAUUAUAUAUCCUCUAUUCCUUAUCUUUCUACCUUUAACUAAUAGACUUACUCUCCCUUUUCUCUCUUUUAACUUGUCAACUGCACUACUAACAAGGUUAAUAUUUACACUUUGUUCUAUAACCAUAAUUAAGUCAUCUAUACUUUGCCAGUAGGUCAUUCUAAAAGUUUAAGGGCAAUAAAGUGUUUACAUUAUUAUGAUUAUGUAAAUAUUUUUCCAGAAAGAUCCAAUUAGUAUAUUAGGAUUACAUUGCUUUUCUUAUACAGCUUUUUUUCCUUAGAGUUUCUAAUUGUCUUUCUUUUUUUCCUUGCGUUGUCUGACUUUAUCACCUUCUUAAGUUAUUCCAAAUUCUCAAGGAAAGUAUAAAAUCAUUUGAAUCCCCUUCUUCCCCAGAUACCUUCUUCCUGGAGUCCUCCGUCUUCCUGUUCCAAUUUGGACUGAUUGCUCUGUAGGCCUGCGGUGCAGCUGUCAUCCUGGGACGUCCCUUCAUUAUUCUGGGUUGGACCCAAUCUUUCUUGGACCCCAUAUCUUCCUCUUUCUUAGUUUACUCCCUUGUAGUGGACAUUGUAGUUGUUCUGCAGCAUCCAUUCCACUCUUCCCGCGCUGUAUAACAACUAUGGGAUGUGAGUGGGAUUGACCCCACCACCAGCUCUAGGUGUAGGCCUUUAUUGGUAUAAACUGAUCUGAGUAAUUUCACCCUCCUAGCCACAGUGAUGACUGGUUCAGGGAUGACCCAAUCACAAUGAGGCUUAGGACUUUUAUUCAGCUUUUGAGGGAGGAGAUGACCUAUCUUCCCUUGGGUGAGAAUAAAGAAGCAUGUAGCCUGGUUGCUGCUGUUAGCCAUCUUGUGAACAUGUGGAAGGCCUACCUGAGGAUGGAGCUGAAAAACGGAGGAGGCAGAGCCAAGAGAAUCACAGAAAUGGAACCAUAUUCCGGAUCAUGCCAUGCCUGAAGUCUCCCUGCCCGAAGUCUCCCUGCCCGAAGUCUCCCUGCCCGUGGACUCUUCAGCUGGAGUACAGUGGUGUGAUCUCGGCUCACUGCAACCUCCGCCUCCAAGGUUCAAGCGAUUGUCCUGCUUCAGCCUCCUGAGUAGCUGGGACUACAGGUGCACGCUACCACGCGUGGCUUUUGGUAGUGAUGGAGUUUCACCAUGUUGUCCAGGAUGGUCUCCAUCUCUUGACCUCCUGAUCCGCCUGCCUCAGCCUCCCAAAGUGCUGGGAUUACAGGCGUGAGACACUGCACCUGGCCACAUCGUACAUUUUGUUGGAGAACAUCCUCGAGUAACUUCUUAAGAAAGUCAAGCCGUCUGGAGCUGUGACAGCCAUCUUGUGACCAUGUGGGGAUGAGCACGAGGAAGAAGACAACAUGUGAAGGAAGAAAGUCAGAAAGAACCCAAUUUCUUGAUGGCAUCAUUGAGCAGCUGAACCCAUGCCACAGUUCCUGUUAACUGAAAAAAUAAAUAAAGCCAUAUGUGUUUAAGCCACUA